AGAACGAACGCUGGCGGCAGGCUUAACACAUGCAAGUCGAACGCCCCGCAAGGGGAGUGGCAGACGGGUGAGUAACACGUGGGAACGUCCCCCUCGGUUCGGAAUAACUCAGGGAAACUUGAGCUAAUACCGGAUACGUCCGAGAGGAGAAAGAUUUAUCGCCGAGGGAUCGGCCCGCGUCUGAUUAGCUAGUUGGUGAGGUAACGGCUCACCAAGGCGACGAUCAGUAGCUGGUCUGAGAGGAUGACCAGCCACACUGGGACUGAGACACGGCCCAGACUCCUACGGGAGGCAGCAGUGGGGAAUCUUGGACAAUGGGCGCAAGCCUGAUCCAGCCAUGCCGCGUGAGUGAUGAAGGCCUUAGGGUUGUAAAGCUCUUUCGACGGGGACGAUAAUGACGGUACCCGUAGAAGAAGCCCCGGCUAACUUCGCGCCAGCAGCCGC
rnacentral:rRNA from 1 species